rnacentral:tRNA from 1 species
GGAGAGAUGCGAGAGCGGUCGAAUCGGGCGGUCUCGAAAACCGUUGAACCCUAAGGGUUCCGAGGGUUCGAAUCCCUCUCUCUCCG